rnacentral:rRNA from 1 species
CCCUUAGAUGUUCUGGGCCGCACGCGUGCUACACUGACCGGCGCAACAAGCUUUUUUCCUUGGCUCGACAGGCCUGGGUAAUCUUCGAACGCCGGUCGUGAUGGGGAUAGAUCCUUGCAAUUUUUGAUCUUCAACGAGGAAUUCCUAGUAAAUGCGAGUCAUCAUCUCGCGUUGAUUACGUCCCUGCCCUUUGUACACACCGCCCGUCGCACCUACCGAUUGAAUGGUCCGGUGAAUCUUUAGGACUGUGGCUGAGGCCUUGCCUUGUGCGGGUCUGGCCGUGGGAAUUUAGUUAAACCUUACCAUUUAGAGGAAGGUGAAGUCGUANCA